UACGUAGGGUGCGAGCGUUGUCCGGAAUUAUUGGGCGUAAAGGGCUCGUAGGCGGUUUGUCGCGUCGGGAGUGAAAACCUACAGCUUAACUGUGGGCUUGCUUUCGAUACGGGCAGACUAGAGGUAUGCAGGGGAGAACGGAAUUCCUGGUGUAGCGGUGAAAUGCGCAGAUAUCAGGAGGAACACCGGUGGCGAAGGCGGUUCUCUGGGACGGUACUGACGCUGAGACGCGAAAGCGUGGGAG
rnacentral:rRNA from 1 species